AUUAUACUCCCUCCGUCUCAAAAUUCUUGUCUUAAAUUUGUCUAGAUGCGGAUGUAUAUAACAUCAAAACAUAACUAGGUACAUCUGUAUUUAAACAAAUCUAAGACAAGAAUUUUGGGACGGAGGGAGUAUUUG
rfam:Triticum aestivum genome assembly, contig: Triticum_aestivum_CS42_TGACv1_scaffold_320349_4BL